rnacentral:rRNA from 1 species
UACGUAGGGUGCGAGCGUUGUCCGGAAUUAUUGGGCGUAAAGGGCUCGUAGGCGGUUUGUCGCGUCGGGAGUGAAAACCCAGGGCUUAACCCUGGGCUGGCUUCCGAUACGGGCAGACUAGAGGUAUGCAGGGGAGAACGGAAUUCCUGGUGUAGCGGUGAAAUGCGCAGGAUAAUCAGGAGGAACACCGGUGGCGAAGGCGGUUCUCUGGGCAUUACCUGACGCUGAGGAGCGAAAGUGUGGGGAGCGAACAGG